UACGUAGGGUGCGAGCGUUAAUCGGAAUUACUGGGCGUAAAGCGUGCGCAGGCGGUUGUGCAAGACCGAUGUGAAAUCCCCGGGCUCAACCUGGGAACUGCAUUUGUGACUGCAUGGCUAGAGUGCGGCAGAGGGGGAUGGAAUUCCGCGUGUAGCAGUGAAAUGCGUAGAUAUGCGGAGGAACACCGAUGGCGAAGGCAAUCCCCUGGGCCUGCACUGACGCUCAUGCACGAAAGCGUGGGGAGCAAACAGG
rnacentral:rRNA from 1 species